ensembl:lncRNA
GACCGGUUUUGGUGCCAAAAUGCACAAAUCAUGAGGAUGAGAAAGGUCAGUGGUAAAUGCAGUAAUUCAUGUCACUCAACAACCUUGAGAGGGCAAACCUCAGGAAGCUGAUGUCUUCAAAAAAGACAGAUUGCAAUGUUAACGCAAUGUUAAUCAGUUAUGUGGUCAAAUCUUCAGAGAACGUAGUGCUGUUCAUCCAAUCAAAAAAUGGCAUCUAUGUUUUUCUAUCAUCAAGUCAUUUGGGGUCGUAAUUCUGCAGUUAGGGUUGUAUUUACAGUCUUUCCUGUAGAUUUGCCACUUCUGUUAAUGUUUGUCAAUGCAGGAGAAAUGGCUGAUUCGUAAGGUUCUAAAAGGAAGGAGAAAGACUUGCAAAAAAGGCUUGCAUUAUAUCACUUGCUGAGAGUGGAUCCUUUACAGUGAAUGGGUGCUGUCAGAGUGAACAGUGAUGUAUUCAUACAGUGAUGUAUUCUUGAAAUAUAAGAGAGCAGAAACUUCUAGACUAAUGAAAACAGGCUUUUCACGAAAUAAAAUGAUCCGCUUCUUAGUUACAUUUAUUUGAAACGUAUUAGAAGAAUGAGACAAAAUGAAGCCGAUGAGCCCUGAGCACCUGGAUAUGAAACCCUCCAUCUCCUGUGGCACAGGUAUCAUAAAGAUAAUGGAAGUAAAAAUCAACUCCCCGACUUUAAUGUUUUACUCAUGAGCCAGAUGGAGGCACCGCAGUGGAAUUAUUGCCUCACCCACCGAUGAGUCAGAACGACAGACUGAAAGAAAGAACAAAAGAGGAUAAGAAAGAGGUGCCAAAUAGAAGCCUGGAGCAACUGUGGCUGCACAGAUGUGUUACCUGUGUUUUAUUUUUCCCAGUUAUUGCCAAGGGCCUCAUCUCUGUUCUUUGGACUCCUGACCCCACAGGAUCCAUACAGGCUGGUAAUUUACAAGACACUUUGUGAUGUACAGAUACCCAGAACCACUGCCAUGGAGUUGUACUUUCUGUCUUUGAUAUCUUGUCAUCCAGUGCAUUGAAUGAAGGUGUGGGUGUCUUUAAUAAACAAUGCUCAUUUAUUAAUAAUAUAUAUAUAUGUUACAGGUCAAAAGUUUGGAAACAUUACUAUUUUUAAUGUUUUUGAAAGAAGUUUCUUCUGCUCAUCAAGCCUGCAUUUAUUUGAUCAAAAAUAAUUAAAAUGUAUUAUACUUUAAAUUAUCAUUUAUUUCUGUGAUGCAAAGCUGAAUUUUUAGGAUCAUUAUCACAUGAUCCUUUAGAAAUCAUUCUAAUAUGAUGAUUCAUUAUCAAAGUUGGAAACAGUUCUGCUGCUUAAUAUUUUUUCAGAACAUGUGAUACUUUUUAGGAUACUUUGAUGAAUAAAAAGUAAAAAAAAUAAAAAAAUAAAAAAAAGAAGCUAUGUUUUUAAUUUUAAUAAAAUCAAUACUUUUAUUCAGCAAGGAUGUGUUAAAUUGAUAAAAAGUAAUAGUAAAGAAAAUAUAUUAUUAGAAUAUAUAUUAUUAGAAUUUUUUUGAAUAAAUGCAGUUCUUUUUAACCUUUUAUUCAUCAAAUAUAUUACACAGCAGAACUGUUUCCAACACUCAUAAUAAAUCAGAAUAUUAGAAUGAUUUCUAAAUGAUCAUGUGAUAGACUGGAUGUUACAUGUGACACUGAAGGCUGGAGUAAUGAUGCUGAAAAUUCAGCUUUGCAUCACAGGAAUAAAUUAUUUUUUUAAAAAGUAUAUUCAAAUAGAAAAACUAUUAUUUUUAAGUUGUAAUAAUAUUUCACAAUAUUACUGUUUUUCUGUAUUUUUUUGAUCAAAUAA